rnacentral:rRNA from 1 species
AGCUUCAGUAGCGUAUAUUAAAGUUGUUGCAUUUAAAAAGCUCGUAGUUGAUGUUUCACUUGCCACAUUUGCACUCUUUUAGCUGUGCUUUUCGUGGAAAGUUGGUAUUUGGUGGUGACACCACGUACACUGUGAGUAAAUUAGAGUGAUCCAAACAGGUUGGGCCUGAAUGUUUCAGCAUGGUAUGGGUUCUUGACAACGCCUUCUCUAUGCAUUCGUGUAUGGAAUUUGAGCGGAGUAAAGAUUAAUAGAGAUGGAUGAUGGGAUUCGUAUUGAGUUGCUAGAGGUGAAAUUCUUGGACCAACUCAAGACGUUCUGAAGCGAAAGCUUUUUCCACAGAUACUCUUA